GACGAACGCUGGCUGCGUGCUUAACACAUGCAAGUCGAACGGAGUGGCGAACGGGUGAGUAACACGUGGGUGACCUGCCCUGCACUUCGGGAUAAGCCUGGGAAACUGGGUCUAAUACCGGAUAGUGUGGGAUGGGCCCGCGGCCUAUCCGCUUGUUGGCUGGGUAAUGGCCUACCGAGGCGGCGACGGGUAGCCGGCCUGAGAGGGUGGACGGCCACAUUGGGACUGGGACACGUCCCAGACUGGAACGGGGGGCAGCAGUGGGGAAUAUUGCACAAUGGUCGGAAGCGUGAGGCAGAGACGCAGCGUGGGGGAAGACGGCCUUCGGGUUGUAAACUCCUUUCACCAUCGACGCGGUAUCUAACCAGAAAGCCACGGCUAACUACGUGCCAGCCGCCGCGGUAAUAC
rnacentral:rRNA from 1 species